AAUCCUAAUAGUGUUUCCCAAGGUGAAUCAACCCACAAACCCUAGUGUUUGUUCCGAAGAGACAAACUCUAUACAAACCCUAGUUUUGUUGUUGCUUUUCUAAACCCCUGUUUCAGCCCCCUCUAUCUCUCUCUCUCUUAGAUUAGCUUGAUACAAGGUUUAUAUUUAUAGUAAAAGUCCUGCUUAAAAUCUGUAACAAAUCUGCUUAAAAUCUGUAACAAAACUGUAACAAAUCUGCUCCCAAAAAUACGUUUUAUUUUUAUCCGCCAGCGCACCAUCGUGCCACGAUGAGACCCCAUCGUGCCACGAUUUUUCCAGUGCCUUGCCCAAAAAACUAAAACCUCCAUCGUGCCACGUUGCCCAGCCGUCGUGCCACGAUUCUGCAGAAACCUGAUUUUAAGUUAACUCUCACAAUUCUCCACCUUGACUUCAAAUCAGUGAUGAUGCCAAUCAUCAACCUCCUUGCUGCUCUUUCCCUUGCUUCCCACUACUCCAAGUAGCUCCACAAGUUUACACCCUAACCUCUUCAGCCAUCGGAAUGUCUUCCGCCUUCUCGAAGAUGCUUGUAGUCCAACUACGCUAGGAAUUUCAGGUAGUUCUACAAGACUAUACCAUAACCUCUUCAAUACGAGACAUCUCCCGCUUUCCUUGAAGAUCUACUUGUACCCAAUCACCCUUGGCUUUUAGAGUAAUCCACAAGUAUACACCUCAACCCCUUCAGCCCUCGGAAUGUCUUCCGCCUUCUCGAAGGUCCUUGCAGUCCAACUACACUAGGAGUUUUAGGUAGUCCCACAAGCAUUCACCAUAACAUCUUCAACGCAGAACAUCUCCCGCUUCCUUGAAGAUCACCUUGCAUCCAAUCACCCUUGGCAUUCUUUUAGAGUAAUCUCGCAAGCCGUGCUAUACAUUCUCCAACUUCAUGAAGAAAUCCCUUGCUCACCAUAGAGCAUAGCACCCAAGGUCCUUCAUAGUCGUACCAUUACCGGUGUGUUCAACUCCACCUCACGCUGAGCGUACUCUACCUCAACUAGCAAAUGCGUACAUCCCACUAUGUCUUCAACCUUGAAACUCCACCUCAACAGGUAGAUCAUGAGUAUUCUUACCACCGCCUCUCCAGGCUGAUGUUGAGUGUUUAACGUCUCUCCAGACGACCACCGCUCCACUAGGCAUCAAUCCCAAGGUGAGACACAUCACCUUCUUCAUCCUCCAAACAACACCACACCAUCAGAGCACCCGCAUCCUCAUAACCCUCAGAGACAAUUUGUGCGGAGUUACCAUUAAUCUCCGGACAAUCCUUCUUGAAGUGACCCAUCUUGUGACAGUUAAAGCAUUCAAACCUUGACUUGUUACCACUCUUUCUCCGGUUACCUCUACCUCCACCAUUCCCUCUUGUGACACUUAGGCCCUCACCGUGUUCAUGAGUCAAGUCCUUGGACUUGGUCAACUCCUUGGUUCUCAAAGCCGCUUGAACUUCUUCCAAGGUAACAGUGCCUUCCUUGCCAUAGAGCAUGGUAUCUUUGAACGAUUCAAAAGAUUUCGAUAGAGCACACAACAAGAGUAUAGCUUUAUCCUCAUCCUCAAGUUGCACCUCAAUAUUCUCCAAGUCAUCAAGGAUUUUGUUGAACUCCGUAAGUUGCUCCAUGAUGGCCUUUGACUCUACCAUCCUGAAUGAGUAGAGUUGUUGCUUUAGGAAUUGCCGAUGCGCCAAAGACUUUGUCAUAUACAAAGAUUCCAACUUUGCCCAUAUCGAUGCCGCGGUUGCUUCCUUUGCUACUUCUCUCAAAACUUUAUCCCCGAGGCACAAGACAAUGGCACUCCUGACCUUGUCCACCAUCUCGGUCUUCUCCGCUUGUGACAUGGUGACCGGUAACGAACCUUCACCCUUCAAAGCUUUCUCACACUUUUGUUGUAUUAACACCGCUUCCAUCUUUACCUUCCAUAACCCGAAAUCGUUAUCUCCGGUAAACUUCUCAAUAUCCCACUUUGAACACAUGGUACUUAAUUAUCCUUUGACCCUUGCCCCACGGUGGACGCCAAUUGUUGCGAAUUCGAAGAAAAAUUCACACCAAUAACAACUUGAUGUGUGGAGCAAGAGAUAAUCAAGCAACCAAAAAACAAAGUGUAUGAAAGUUAUAAAUACAAGCCAAAAAGGUAGAAAAAACAACGGCAAGAAGAACACAAAGAAGAGAAAAAACACAAAAGAAUUUGUUGACCCAGUUCGGUCCAAAUUGACCUAGUCUGGGGGAGAGAGCAGCCCUCCAAUCCACUAUAUGAUGAGUAUCGUUACAAAGAGAAAUCAAUGGGUUACAAGAAUAAGUCUCCCGCCUAAUUCUACCCAAAGUCCCAGCCUCUUCCCGUAACCAAGAGACUCAAUCCUGAUAGUGUUUCCCAAGGUGAAUCAACCCACAAACCCUAGUGUUUAUUCCGAAGAGACAAACUCUAUACAAACCCUAGUUUUGUUGUUGCCUUUCUAAACCCUUGUUUCAGCCCCCUCUAUCUCAAAGUUUGCUCUAAUACAAGGUCUAUAUUUAUAGUAAAAGUUUCGCUUAAAAUUUGGAACAAAUCUGCACCCAAAAAUACGUUUCUGUUAUUCGCCGCCAGCGCACCUUCGUGCCACGAUUUUUCCAGU
rnacentral:lncRNA from 1 species